GCUUCAUACAUGCAAGUCGUAGUGGAUUUCUCGUUUCAGAUAAGUCAGCGGCGGCCGGGUGAGUAACAUGUAGUCAACCUGACAUAAGACCGGGAUAGCUGCCGGAAGCGGUACAUAAGAGAACAUAGAUGUUUUAUCCGCAUGACUAAAUCAAAAAACAGGUUACAAGCUAUGGUUUACAGAUGGGCAUGAGGCACUUUAGAUGGUUGGUGAGGUAUCGGCUCACCAAGGUGGCGAUGUAUAGGCCCCCUGAGGGGGUGAUCGCCCACUGGGGGAGUGAGACGCUCCCCAGACUUAUGCGGGAGGCAGCAGUAGGGAAUUUUCCGCAGGGGGCACAUGUGAGUGGGAGACACGCCGCGUGAGUGAAGAAGGUUUUGGUAUCGUAAAUCUUUGUUGCCAAAGAAGAACGCCUUGGUGAGAAAGGGCCCUAAGGGGGACGGUACUUGAGAAGAAAGCCCGGGUAAAUUACGUGCCGCCAGCCGCGUUAAUACGUAGGGGCCAAGCGUUUUCCGGAAUUAUUGGGGGUAAAGCGCGGGCAGGCGGCGGCUUAAGUUUGGGGUAUAACCCCGGGGUUCAACCCCGAAUCGCACCGAAAACUGGGCGGCUUGAGUGCAGGAGAGGAAAGCGGAAUUCCACGUGUAGCGGUGAAAUCGUAGAGAUGUGGAGGAACACCAGUGGCGAAGGCGGCUU
rnacentral:rRNA from 1 species